CUUCCGGUUACUGACUCUGUGGCUGCUGCCUCCCACAACGCUGUGCUUGCAGACCCCAGGAGCGCUGGCUGUCCCUUCACUUCCUGAACAUGUGGAUGUGUGCUUUGGGUUCUUGACCUCAGCUCUUCCCAAGGUCUUCUUAGAGAAGGGUCUAAAUGAAGUCAUUUUUAGAGUAUUUGUUUUUGGUUACACAGGUGCUUCCGCCCAUGUGGCCUCGGAGUGGGACCCUGCGGGUCAUCAAUCUGUACAUUGCCUGAGAGCAGCCGUGUAUGCUCUGGAAGGGACAAGACCAGGUACCUGUCGGGGGAUGCGGCCGUGGUACCAGGCAUGGCUGCGCAGGUCCUCGCUGCUCAGGAGCAGCUCCUCCUCCAGCUCCUUCUUCAGUUUCUCGGGGGUCCUGUCCAUGAUGUGCCUCUCCUUGGAGAACUGCAACACAGAGUCAACCAUGAGCUCACCCUGCCCAGGCCACACCAGGCCAUGCCAGCUGGAGGUGACCGCCUGCUUCACUAAUCCAACCAGUUAUGCUACAGCCUGCAUUCAGGGAGAUGUGGCCACAGGACUCAGUUCUGACCAAGGAGCUGAGAUGUGAUGGCUGGAGACUCAACACCAUUCUGGACGCCAAAAAGAGCUGGCCUUGGCUGGAAGGUUCUGGCUAGGAGGAGAGGGCUAAAGCAUGCGAAGGCACAACAAUGAUGGAACUGAGCGAAGAAGAUACUCUAUCCCACUUCAGUGAAAACAUCAUGAGGCUUGAAGCAUGGAAGUUGCCUCACCCCCGUGUUUCCUGCCAGGUGGAACAAAGUGCUGAGAGAAUCAAACCAGCAAGCAAAGAGAAGAGGAGCAAGAGAUGGAAAGUGACCUCUAGCAUGCACAUCCCUAAGCCCCAGCUGAUUAUAUCAGCCGGCAAACUCCUCUUGUGACCUAGGCUAGUAUGAGUGGAAUCCCUGUCACUUGUGACCAAAGCAGUCCUGACCCAGAAACGCAGGGACUGGCUGAGGGCAGCCCAACAUUGGUGGCUGAGGGUUUAGACCAUCACACUCCAGAAAGUCAGAGUCACGGAAAAUCUUUGCCCAGGAAGGCAACAGGUAUAUAAAAAGAUACUUUUAGAGAGAUCUGGCUGCAGUGAGAGCAAUGGGCUGGAUGGGGCCAGGGCUGGAGGCACAGGUCAGAGUCUUUUGAAAUGUGCUGACAACGCCCAGAUCUCCAUCUCCAGCCCUUAGGGUCGGUGCCUGGUAGGGAUAUUUACUGGAAUCCGCAUUAAAGCUCAGAUGUCAAUAUGGAUAAAUUGAACUCAUCCCCUCUGCAAAGCCUGAUCUUCGCCCUUUUCCCCAGUCACUGGCAUCUCUUCUGUCCUCAUUACCUGAACUAGAACCCUCAGAAUCGGCUUCCAUUGGUUAAGACAUUCCUGAUUCUUUUACCUAUCCCCAUUCGAAUCCCCACUGUUUAGAUUACUGUUCUUUUCUCCUAGAACUUCUGCAAUAGCCUCCUAACAGUUUCCCUACCUCCCAUUUCUAGUCCCACAACCUGCCACCUACAAUACCACCAACCUUGUCAUAUUGCCCCUA